GAUGAAGAACGCAGCGAAAUGCGAUAAGUAGUGUGAAUUGCAGAAUUCAGUGAAUCAUCGAAUCUUUGAACGCACAUUGCGCCUCCUGGUAUUCCGGGAGGCAUGCCUGUUCGAGCGUCAUUAAAAUCACUCAAGCUUAGGUUUACCUAUUGCUUGGUCUUGGAGAUGGAAGCCAAUUCAUUGGAAUCCUCUUCGAAAUCCAAUGGCGAAGACCCUUGCUCUCCCAAGUGUAGUAAUAACUUAUGUCACUGAAGGAAGCGAGAAAUCUUCCGCCGUAACCCCCAUAUUUUCUAUGAUUGACCUCGGAUCAUGUAGGGAUACCCGCUGAACUUAAGCAUAUCAAUAAGCGGAGGA
rnacentral:misc_RNA from 1 species